rnacentral:rRNA from 1 species
UUUUUAAAUCUUCCUGGAGGAGCUUGCCAUUAAACCGAUAAUCCACGAUAUACCUCACCAAUCUUUGAAAAUAACCAACUUGUAUACCAUCGUCGUCAGUAUACUUCUUAAGAACAGUAUACAAAAAGAACUAUAAAUUUUCUUCCUAACGUCAGAUCGAGGUGCAGUUAAUAGAUUGGCAAUGAGUGAGCUACAAUAUUUUAACAAAACAUUUUUAUUAAUUAAAAUUUUGGAAAAACCUAUGAAAAACCCUUAUAAAAAGAAUUCAGUAGUAAUAUAAUUUAAGAUAAAUUUUAUGAAAAAUUAGCUCUAAAAUACGC